AAAUCCUCUCUUCCACAUAACCCUAACCCUAGUUCCCAGCCCCGUCCCCUUGCCUCUCUUCUUGCCAGCCGCCAGCCUCCACCUCCCUCAGCACCACCAUGCCCAACCACCACGUUCAGAUCCGUGCACCCUUCCCCAGCACCACCCGAGCACAACUACCGCGUUGUCUCCCACAUGGCGUCCUGCUUCCCGCCCCCUCGUCCUCAACACUUGCACCGUGAUGGACACCAGCGUCGCCGCCCUCGCAGCCACGUACACGGUGGAGCUCUCCGAGAAGCUUGCUACCGAGCGGCAUCUUCAUAGUCGCGCGCUCCGGCGGAUCCCUCACCAGGCCCUCAGGUUCGUCCCCGGCCCAUCCUUCCCGGACGCGUUCCCUGUCUAUAUGGCGGAUCUUGAUUUUAGUUUUGGUCUCAUAGGAAACUGGCGGAUUGGUUGUAUCUGAAAUUUGUGAGUUCCAUGCAGCUCGUAAUCUCCAUCGUCAAAGAGCACACCGAUCAGCUACAGGCUCGCAUUUACCCACAUGUAUUUCAGCUGGCAGGUAUUCACAGCACACCGUAUUCUCUAUUUACGUAAAGCAAGCGCUGCCAGACUAGUUCGACGUGCCAUCAUUUCUCCCUUCAUGUUCAGGCAGUGUGAUUAAUUCACUAUGGUUCAGCUUACCACAAAGUGUUAAAAAGGACAGUCGCUUCACCUCUAUUCUUGUAUAGAUUGAUAACAAAUGUCUAACACUGUCAGUGUCGAUUGCCUAGCAUGGCUACUGUCGUCUCUAACUAUAACGGUGUGUUGUGUGUGCGUGCAAACAAUGUGGAGCCGGCUUCUAUCGAGGGCUUUGGUACACGAGACGGUGUGUUUUGUGUGUGCUUCCUCUCUGAAUCUUUAACACUAAUUUUUCUCUGAAUUUCAUCUAUAUCUUGUACACUGCAGGGUACCAAGUAGAGAUAAACUGCAGGGUACCAACUGUAAGAAUACAGAGGUUUAAACAUGUCAAUUUGUGUACUAAGCACAUGUAUUAGUGAGUCAAUUUAGAGUAGUAGUACUGCUAUUACUUUUGCACCUAUGAGUACUAGUACCAAGGCCACGUGUUUGCUCACUCUCUCUCAGUCUGGAGCUAUAGACCGAGCUAGCACUUGUCAACACAUAUUUUUUUCUUGUAAUGACGAGAUGCAUCUCCUCAGAUACUACUCUCACUUUCAAUUUCAAUUAGGGUUACCGAUGACGCAUCAUUAAUUUUUCUUUUGCAUAAUCCCUUGCAUAACAACGAACUAUUGUCAAGUCUGAAUCCAGGAGUUAGUUUGGGUGAAUCUUCCUAGGGUUAGUGUGACUGACUGUCAUGGACAUUUGCUGAUCUGGGAGAGCGUUGGUCUACAUAAAUCUGAAUCUGAAGCAUUCAUUGUUGGGGGUCAGAGAAGAUCUUGUACGUCUAUAAGACUACAGUAAAUUGUUGUCCUGUUAGCUCGUUGUAUUUGUUCCCCUUUUCAUGUAUAUUUGGUUAGGAUUUGCCAGUGUGUCCUUGUUCCCUUUCCUCAUCCAUCACAUGAUUAGAUUGCUUUUGUCGUGUGUUAAUAUCUCAGCCCUGUUACCGUGUCGGCCACAAGAAAGUUGUUGGCUAGGCUUAUUUGUACGUUUACAGACUGAGCUCUACAUUAGUUUGAGUUGUUCAAAGAAAAACACUUUUUCGUUUUAUCUCCAGUGCCAAAGCUAUGGGGUGAUCUUGUUCACUAGUGAAAUUUAUCCGAACAGAUAAGACAGCUCAGUAUGAUGUGCUUUGGUUUAAUAUAUGGUUUUUAAUUUGUUGGUCUCUGCUACAUUGUACGUCUUUCUUCUCUUACUUACAUUUAAGCGAAACAAGUUUGAUAAUUUUAUUCAACUCUGAUUUGCAGCGGAAUUAUGACACUAGCAAGAUGUGUGAAUUCAGCAAGGAAGACUUUGCUGCUGGUACAUAAUACAUCUUCCUUCUCUAUCAAAUUUGAGGCUGGCAUUUUGCUGUAAGAGCUGUACAUAAUACAUCUUCCUUCUCUACCAAAUUUGAGGCUGACCGGGAACCCUUCUUUAUAUUUACAACUGAAUAUAUUGUUAACUUUAAAUAAGUCUUUAGCUACCUUGGUUGAUCCCUGCGUUUUAAGAAAUUUGUGAUUAUAUUCGUAAAAGCAUAUACUAUUCUGUGAGUAUGCAUUUCGGAGUAUAUUUGUAAAAGCAUACAUUGUUUUGGAGGAAAAGAAUAUACUAUUAACUUUAAAUAAUUCUUUAGCUCUCUUGGUUGAUCCCAGCCUUUUAAGAAAUUCAUGAUUAUAUUCGUAAAUGCAUGUACUAUUUUGUGAGUAUGCAUUUUGGAGUAUAUUUGUAAAAGCAUAUACUAUUUUGGAGGAAAAACAUAUACUAUUUUGGAUAAUGCCUUGUAAGAAAUUUGUGAGUAUAUUUGUAAUAAAUCAUGAGCUAUCUUAGUUAAUCCAUGAGUUCUCUUAGUUUGUUAACUUUUUGUCAUUAUAACUACGAAAAGUGAUUAUUAAAUACAGUUUUUCCAACUAAGUGCAUGACAGUUUAAUAUGAACUUUCUUCUGUUGUGUCAAAAAAAGGUGCAUCAUUUUUCCAAUGUAUGAAUAUCUGUUCCCAUACUUAAACAUCAGCCCUUGUAAAUUUGGUAUAUUAUGCAUGCCACGUUACUCAAAUACAUAUGCAUCAUAUGAUUGAUUUUCUCUUCUAGGCUGAAGCUUCAACGCAGCUCUCGGAAACCAUGGCAAGGCGAAGGCAUUGAAUGUGGAUUAGCCAAUGCCACCAAUUGUCACUUGAAAAACUAAAUUCGAGCAUUGCAGGUCAAAUCCUUUCCUUCUGUUGUGAGAGAUCCUUCAGUUCCUGUAGUUAUUUUGGGACGGAGGGAGUAUCUUAUAUUUAUGUGUUUGGCCUUCUUGCUUUUAAUUCAUGAGUUUUCUGAUACUUUCUAUACUGCUCCAUAUUUUUAUAAGCACAAUCUGCUGAUUGUAAUACAUUGGGUACACCCAAAUUUAAGGAAUUUCUGUUGUGGUUCUUACCUAAUGGGAACUGGAAACAAACCCCAAUUCAUAUACUGUGGGCAAAAUUAUAUGUCUAGUUUUGUUUGUUUGUGCCUGUAAUGGUAUCCACUCCAAGAGUUCUUUAUGUUCUUGGUAGUCUGCAGAGAGGAGGUGCAAUAUGUUUUUUCUUUUCCUUGUGGUUUGUAUGUUUUUCUCAUGUAUGUCUUUCUCCUGUUUGCUCCUUGUAAAUGUCAGGAUGGUCUUCAAUCCAAAAGAACUGGCUACUCGGAAGAAGUGGAAGAUAAAUCAAUCCGUUGUUCCUCAUUUGUUGUUACAUGCGAACACAUGAAAUUUGUGUUCCUUUUUUUUGUUUCCAUGAAGCAACAAUAGUUCCGGCUUUGUUUAAGUUAAUAUUGAAAAAGUAUUGUAUUGGCAUUUGUUGGGCCUGGGAUUUGUUGAGGAGUUGAAGGAUCAAGUAUUUUCUGUUAUGUCUAUUUCGUAAAUACUAUAACUAUUUAUUUGUAAUAUAUUGAAUUUUCGCUUGAAUUUUCGCUUGAAUUAUCUGAUGGGAUUAUUCCGAUCAUGGACCUAAACUUUUCAAAUCAAGGCUUCUGCCCAACAUAAAAUGGGCCAUGCCAACAGAUUAGAUGAAAAUAGAAACAUGCAAAAUGGGCCUAACAUGUAGAAUUGGCAUGCAAAAAACUGUUCGUAAA
rnacentral:lncRNA from 1 species